rnacentral:rRNA from 1 species
AACGUACGCUGGCGGCACGCCUAACACAUGCAAAUCGAACGCAGUAGCAAUACUGAGUGGCAGACGGGUGAGUAACAUGUGGGAAUCUGCCUUGUGGUUCAGGACAACAUUGGGAAACCGAUGCUAAUACUGGAUAAGCCCUUACGGGGAAAGUUUUAAUGCCAUAAGAUGAGCCCGCAUUUGAUUAGUUAGUUGGUGAGGUAAUGGCUCACCAAGACAAUGAUCAAUAGCUGAUCUGAGAGGAUGAUCAGCCACACUGGGACUGAGACACGGCCCAGACUCCUACGGGAGGCAGCAGUGGGGAAUCUUGCACAAUGGAGGAAACUUUGAUGCAGCGAUGCCGCGUGAGUGAAGAAGGCCUUUGGGUUGUAAAGCUCUUUUGUAGGGGAAGAUAAUGACUGUACCCUAAGAAUAAGGUCCGGCUAACUUCGUGCCAGCAGCCGCAGUAA